AAACUUACCUGCACAGGAGAUACCGUGAUCAUGAAGGCGGUUUUUUCCCAAGGAGGUCCCAUUGCACCCGUGGCGCUACCCUUGCGAUUAACCCAAAUGUGGUUAACUCGAGUGCGCAAUUUUUGUUAGUUGGGGACUGCGUUCGCGCUAUCCCCCU